GACAAAAGAAGAGGAAGAAAAGAUUCCUUCAAGGGAGUGCUAGAGUUCUUCAAGGUCAAGUUGGAGCAGUAAGCAGAACUGAAAUCACAAGAGACUUACAGAUGGGAGUAAGAGAGGGGGGGAUGUCAUUCUAAUACCAUAAAAGCCUCUUGAAAGUAUUUGCUCAUGGAGUUGUCAGGACUUGCGCAAUCAGUUAAAUUGGACAGAAGUGAACACAGAAAGAAGUCCCUGGAAAUAUAACAGAAGACCCAGAAGGAAGGAAGGAACCCAAAAGGAUUAAACGAUACAUCUUGUUCUCAUCUGUUUAUAUUAGAAAACAACUGCCUUUAGCUAAGCAAAGGCCAAUUAAUGUGCAAAGCAUUUA